GUCAUGGGUUCUUUCCUUUGUUUGAGAGC
rnacentral:piRNA from 1 species